rnacentral:rRNA from 1 species
CCUUACGGCCAUACCAACCUGAAAGCGCCCGAUCUCGUCAGAUCUCGGAAGCUAAGCAAGGUCGGGCCUGGUUAGUACUUGGAUGGGAGACUUCCUGGGAAUACCAGGUGCUGUAAGCA